AUACGGAGGGGGUUAGCGUUGUUCGGAAUUACUGGGCGUAAAGCGUACGUAGGCGGAUUGGAAAGUAUGGGGUGAAAUCCCAGGGCUCAACCCUGGAACUGCCUCAUAGACUCCCAGUCUAGAGUUCGAGAGAGGUGAGUGGAAUUCCGAGUGUAGAGGUGAAAUUCGUAGAUAUUCGGAGGAACACCAGUGGCGAAGGCGGCUCACUGGCUCGAUACUGACGCUGAGGUACGAAAGUGUGGGGAGCAAACAGGAUUAGAUACCCUUGUAGUCC
rnacentral:rRNA from 1 species